AUGGCUUUGUUCAACCUUGAGACAGAGGAGUGGAUGGGGAUUGUCAAAGGUCCAAUGUCAGUGCGCAGCUUUGUUGAGGAUAGCAAUGGCAGGUCCAGUUACGUUAGUCUAGACUUGGAGCUAUCACUGGUAUGUUUGGAUGGGUUCUUAGGUAAGGCCCACGAUUCUGAAUAUUGCCCUUGGGACUUAUGGUUUUUGAUGGAUAUUGAGAAAUGUCUCUGGAAUAAAAGGUACAGCAUAGAUCCCCAACGUGAAAAUCUCUUUGCUCAACCAGUGGACAUUCUAAAUGAUGGGAGGAUAGUCAUCUCUGCACCAGGAUUGCUAAGGUUGUAUAAUCCAGUUACCAAGACUUACACUGAUUGUGGGAUGAGGAAAUCCUCAUCUGUUGGUACUUACACUGGAAGUCUAUUGUCUUCAGAGAGCACGUUCACUUCUGAGGCUGAACGAUGCACUACCUGCGGCUGCUAUUUCACCCUCGAAGCCGAUAAAUAUUCUGACACCUGUGAAGAUUGUAUGUGGCGUGCAUAUGCAUGGUCAUGUUGA
rnacentral:rRNA from 1 species